CCUACGGGGGGCAGCAGUCGAGAAUCUUUCACAAUGGGGGAAACCCUGAUGGUGCGACGCCGCGUGGGGGAAUGAAGGUCUUCGGAUUGUAAACCCCUGUCAUGUGGGAGCAAAUGAAAAAGAUAGUACCAUAAGAGGAAGAGACGGCUAACUCUGUGCCAGCAGCCGUAGUAAUACAGAGGUCUCAAGCGUUGUUCGGAAUCACUGGGCGUAAAGCGUGCGUAGGCUGUUUCGUAAGUCGUGUGUGAAAUGCGCGGGCUCAACCCGCGGACGGCACAUGAUACUGCGAGACUAGAGUAAUGGAGGGGGAACCGGAAUGCUCGGUGUAGCAGUGAAAUGCGUAGAUAUCGGGAGGAACACUCGUGGCGAAGGCGGGUUCCUGGACAUUAACUGACGCUGAGGCACGAAGGCCAGGGGAGCGAAAGGGAUUAGAUACCCCUGUAGUC
rnacentral:rRNA from 1 species